rnacentral:rRNA from 1 species
AGAGUUUGAUCCUGGCUCAGGAUGAACGCUGGCGGCGUGCCUAACACAUGCAAGUCGAGCGAUUCUCUUCGGAGAAGAGCGGCGGACGGGUGAGUAACGCGUGGGUAACCUGCCCUGUACACACGGAUAACAUACCGAAAGGUAUGCUAAUACGGGAUAACAUAUAAGAGUCGCAUGACUUUUAUAUCAAAGAUUUUUCGGUACAGGAUGGACCCGCGUCUGAUUAGCUUGUUGGCGGGGUAACGGCCCACCAAGGCGACGAUCAGUAGCCGACCUGAGAGGGUGAUCGGCCACAUUGGAACUGAGACACGGUCCAAACUCCUACGGGAGGCAGCAGUGGGGAAUAUUGCACAAUGGGCGCAAGCCUGAUGCAGCAACGCCGCGUGAGCGAUGAAGGCCUUCGGGUCGUAAAGCUCUGUCCUCAAGGAAGAUAAUGACGGUACUUGAGGAGGAAGCCCCGGCUAACUACGUGCCAGCAGCCGCGGUAAUACGUAGGGGGCUAGCGUUAUCCGGAUUUACUGGGCGUAAAGGGUGCGUAGGCGGUCUUUCAAGUCAGGAGUUAAAGGCUACGGCUCAACCGUAGUAAGCUCCUGAUACUGUCUGACUUGAGUGCAGGAGAGGAAAGCGGAAUUCCCAGUGUAGCGGUGAAAUGCGUAGAUAUUGGGAGGAACACCAGUAGCGAAGGCGGCUUUCUGGACUGUAACUGACGCUGAGGCACGAAAGCGUGGGGAGCAAACAGGAUUAGAUACCCUGGUAGUCCACGCUGUAAACGAUGAGUACUAGGUGUCGGAGGUUACCCCCUUCGGUGCCGCAGCUAACGCAUUAAGUACUCCGCCUGGGGAGUACGCACGCAAGUGUGAAACUCAAAGGAAUUGACGGGGACCCGCACAAGUAGCGGAGCAUGUGGUUUAAUUCGAAGCAACGCGAAGAACCUUACCAGGCCUUGACAUCCCGAGCAAAGACAUAGAGAUAUGUUAGAGGUUAUCUCGGUGACAGGUGGUGCAUGGUUGUCGUCAGCUCGUGUCGUGAGAUGUUCAGUUAAGUCUGGCAACGAGCGCAACCCUCGUGAUGUGUUACUACCAUUAAGUUGAGGACUCACAUCAGACUGCCGGUGACAAACCGGAGGAAGGCGGGGAUGACGUCAAAUCAUCAUGCCCCUUAUGGCCUGGGCUACACACGUACUACAAUGGCAUCUACAGACGGAAGCGAACCUGUGAAGGUAAGCCAAUCCGAGAAAAGAUGUCCCAGUUCGGAUUGAAGUCUGCAACUCGACUUCAUGAAGUUGGAAUCGCUAGUAAUCGCGGAUCAGCAUGCCGCGGUGAAU